GUGUUUGUUAUUUCAACUUGAAUUAAUCAAGUUUACUUUACAUAUAAAUUCUUAAUGUUAAUGGGGUGUAUAAAACAUAGAUACAGAACAAAUUGCUCUGUUUGCAUCUACAAAUGUGCACAGGUAAAUAAAGAUUUUGGAGUGCACAGUACAACCAAUUUGAUUGUCAGCACAUCCUUAUAGAAUCAAUAAUGAUCCUUCCACAGGUUCACCUACAGAAA
rnacentral:misc_RNA from 1 species